rnacentral:rRNA from 1 species
GGAGGUAGUGACAAUAAAUCUCAAUACGAAGCCUUUGGUUUUGUAAUUGAAUUGAGAACAAUGUACAAUCGUUAUCGAUAAACAAUUGGAGGGCAAGUCUGGUGCCAGCAGCCGCGGUAAUUCCAGCUCCAAUAGCGUAUAUUAACGUUGUUGCAGUUAAAAAGCUCGUAGUUGAAGUUUAGAUAAUUUAUUGAAAGUGUUUGUAUUCGUACAUUCUACUUUUAUGUAAGUUAUCGACAUCCAGGUGGGUGCCAUGGUUCCGCAAGGAACUGUGGUACUAGACUGGUCAUUUACUGUGAGAAAAUUAGAGUGUUUAAAGCGGACUGUUCAGUUUGAAUAGAUUAGCAUGGAAUAAUAAGAUUGGCUUUCAUAGUCGAUUUUUUGGUUUGUUUAUGAAAGCAAGAUUAAUAGGGACAGUUGGGGGUAUUCAUAUUCAAUAGCUAGAGGUGAAAUUCUAUGAUUUAUGGAAGAUGAACAAGUGCGAAAGCA